UACGAAACUACAAACGACUAGCUCCAGAGGAAGAAGGUCAAAGUUGAGAGAAGGCGGGUGUUCGUAAACAAAAAAGACGGCUAGGUUUUGACGAUUUGUAUCAGCCUUAUCUGGAGGUUUAGUCAAGUAAGAAUGUCCCAUCAAAAUGUGUUAGACAAGCAGCCUCAGCACUGAUAAUCGCUGGACCAGAGGCAGAAACUGGUAGUGAGAACUAAUCCACCUACAAAUUCAGAUGAUUGUGAAAUGUCGGUCCAAGCUGUAGUAAGGAAUGUUCCAUAUGCCAGAUCUAGAUCAGGAAACAGCUACAUGGUACGCAGAGCUACAAAACAAAGAGGCCAGCCAUUUACAGGUAUAACAGUAGUAUCCUCAGCUGAAAAUGCCACAAAAUUGUGUUAGUGUCAAUAUUCUCGCCAACAACACUAACCUUGGUGGGUGGCUGAAACAUCCAAAAUGGUGUAUGAAGAAUGCAUGGACUAAAACUGCUCUUCCACUAUCACCGCUGAUAGACCUCAUUAAAAUUUGUCCAUUAGUGAAGUAAUAUGUGGCCGAUUAUCUCCCUUACAUUGAUUGAUGUUAGGAUAUAUGUACAAUGUACAUGCCUAGCGCCAGAAACUGCCCAACAACCUGAAACUUAAACACUUCUGCUCAGAUGAUGUUCUUGGUAAAGUAAGAUGGAAGUUGUCUAUGAAGGUGAUCCUGUGAAUGAUUGUCUCCCUUACAUUGAUUGACGGUGGGAUCUACAUGGAAGUCCAGAAAAUGCCCAACAUGCUGUUUGAUAUUUAAAAAGUUUGUCGCUCAGAUGUAGUUCUUAGUCAGGUAACACAGAAGUUGUGUAUGAAAGCUAUGGAUAUUUUUUUUAUGAAUUUCAAUGUAUUAAUGAAACUUGUAGUAAAAUUAAUUGUGGUUUCAGUCCAGGGGCCGCGGUGGCCGAGUGGUUAAGGAGUCCCAACACUUUAUUACUAGCCCUCCACCUCUGGGUUGGGAGUUCGAAACCUGGUACUAACUGUAGGUCCUGGUUUUCUCGGGGUACUCAGGCUUUCCUCCACCUCCAAAACCAGGCAUGUCCUUAAAUGACCCUGGCUGUUAAUAAGACGUUAAACACAAUAAACCAAACCAAACGUUUCAGUCCUAACAUAGGGGCCAAAAAUAACAUGUUUUUAGCUAUUAUUUAUGAACAUGCAUUCUUUUCAAAUCAUCCUGAGUCAUGGUCCGUCAGUUGUCUGUCAGUCCGUCCAUCUGUCUGUAAAUAAUCCUUGUUAUAACUAUUUCUUUAAAAUAUUGGAGAGAUAUUCCUCAAACUUCAUGUAUGGACAUUUGGCCUGGAAGGAUAUUCUUCAAAUUUCAUGUAUUGAUGUUUGGCCAUGUUGAAAUUGAGAAUUGAAGUUUGUUAUCUUUAUUCCUUGAAAAGUACUGGAGGGAUAUUCCUCAAACUUCAUGUGUAGGUUCCCCUUGGUACCUAGAUUGCUAAAUUUAUUUUCGUUUUUGAUCAGGAAAUCAAAAUGGCAGACAGGUGCGAAUUGAAGUUUGUAAUUGCUAUUUCUCGAAAAGAAUUGAAGGUAUGCUUCUCAAACUUCACGUGUAGGUUCCACUUGUUCUUGCAUGUUAUCGGAUUAUUAAGAGGAAAAAAGAAGAAAGAAGGGAACAGUAGAGAGAAGAUGAGUCUGACAUACAGAACCAAUAAAGAUCAUUGAAUGUUAGGCGCCAACAUCCUUCUGGGCUCUCUUGUUUAUUUGUGAUAAAUGUUUUGGAAAAGUAAAAAAAAACUUUAGUGAAUUUAAGAAAGUGUGUAUGAAACUUGUCAAAGUCAUUGUCAGAAUAAAAUGAGGUGUAUCAACACGGAAAUCAAGAGACGAGUCAUAAAAUGUAGUAAACAGUUUGAGGGUUAGAAAUGUAGGUUCAACCUUUAAAUUCUUUUUGGAGCUGAUAGGGAAAUAAGAAAAAGGUGGAAAUGUCCGAGAUCAAGGUUUCGGGAAAAUAAACAGGACUUUCUUAUUGAAAUAAGAAGUCGGAUACAGUUCUUAAGGAAAAACAUCCAGUGACACUCAUGUCCAGAGAUUUAUUUAAUGACAUUGCUACAGAAAUUCAAGGAAAGGUGCCAAUUGUAUACAUGUUAUAUGGGGUCUCAGUGACCGAGUGGUUAACGUGUCCCGACACUUUAACACUAGCCCUCCACCUCUUGGUUGUGGGUUUGAAACCUACAUGUGGCAGUUGCCAGGUACUGACCAUAUAAGGCUGGUGGUUUUUCACCGGGUACUCCGGCUUUCCUCCACCUCCAAACCUGGCACGUCCUUAAAUGACCCUGGUUGUUAAUAGGACGUUAAACAAAAACAAACCAAACCAAAAACAAACAUGUUUAAUUUGGUGUUAAUAAUUUGUGGGGAAGACGGAUCUGAACUACCUGAUAUUAACUUUCACCUUCAUCCUUUAGAUCACCAUUGGGACCGUGUAUAGUUGGGGAUGCCAGGAACAAGUAAUCAUCCGGUGUUCAUCCUACAUAUCUCAAAAAUGUUUUAACACCAAAUGCAUGUGUACUGCACUUUUUGUAUUUCAUUUCUCAUAUUAGUUAUUAUGUCAUAUGUAUAAAUCAAAGUUGUUGCUAAAUGUUCUGAACAUUGUUUCAUUACCUUGAUUUUCUGUUGAUUUUUCGUUUUACAGUGCCAAACCCCAAGAGAUAAUACUCCACUUUCGUGGAGUUCUGCGAAGUGGUCACUAGUCUGAGCUAGUAAGGUGACCUUAUACUCUCUACUUUAUCACUACACCCCCUUCAUAAAGCCUUUGCCCCAAAGACAACUACAACCAAGGUUGUUUAGCUCCAUGGAAGCCUCUCAAUCUCCUAUAGCUUUCACUUAGAGAGGUCAACAGUACCAAAUGUAAGAGGAGGGCAAUUAACAUGGCCAGACCGAGGUCUCAAAUCUGGAACUCAAAACACUCGACGGAUGCUCUACCAAUUCACCUACCUGGUCGCUGAUGAUCGAACCAGUCCAGUUCCACUACAAAAAAAUUACUCCCUUUCACUUCAUCUCUGGCCUGCUUUAUCAAGUUACUUCAAUAGCCAUGAAGAGAUCAUCUAUUGUGGAGAAGCUGUUGAAACAACUUUGUGACUCGGAGGUUAAACUGUAUUUUAUGUUCAUUGAAUUAAUUUUGACAUCAUUGAAUGAAUUCUUUCAGGUGAGCAAGACCAUUAAUUUUAUAUUCGUCAGUUGUAAAAUACAUCAAAAUAUGUUUAUGAAUUAAUUUUACUGAACCCAUGUGCUUGAUUCCAUUUCUUUGUGAACUAUUUUUUGUUUGUAAUUAAUGUUUCAGGCUGAUGUUGAAAUAACCAGAGUGCAAGUAUUUUAGGAAAUGCCACUUAAAAACCGGACUCCCAGUAGUCAAUCCUUGACAGGUUUGAGGUAUGUGAUAGGAUUGACAACAAUUGAGCCACUCACCACAGGACUGCUGACAGCCUGUAACCUCAGCACUGUAGAGUCCGCUAUACCAAAGUUACACAGAUGAACAGCAGUGUGGAUCCUGGCCGGGAAGUUAUGGUAACAGGUACCAAAAUGUUAAAUGAAUCAGAGGAAUGGAUCCAACUCAGUCCUUUUGAAUUCACAAUACAAUGUGAUUAGAUCCUCAAAAGGCACGCCAAUCUUCCUUCUAUUGAAUCUUCAGCAGUUCCAGUUUCUCAAUAUUUUAGGAAAAGGAGCAACAAGAUCAGCCUAUUUAGCCAUGGGAAACAACACCAGCCCAGCUGCUGUCGUGAAUCCUACUUAUUAUAUGUCAACAUUAAGAGAAAUGUUUCAUCUAUUCAACAAGUGUUCACUUGAAAACAAUGGUCAAAUAUUGAGCAAGUUAUGACAAAAUGAAUUCCAAAAAGUGGGUAGAUUAGACUAAGUAGACAUUUGCUUGUUUGGUAGAAUAUGAACACUGUCUCUAAUGUGUAGCUAAUUGAUUAUCAAGAGCAAAUACGUGGAUUUCAUACUUGUGGUACUGUUGAUUUCACAAAACACAAAACAGAGUCCACCAGACCUACCUUACUGAGAUGUAUUAUUAUGUUGGUACGGAAAUCAGGUCGACAUCAAUGUAUAUUAAAAAUGAAAUAACUCGA